rnacentral:lncRNA from 1 species
CCACAACAAACUCACAUACUCAUAUACACUCGCCACAACAGAUUCCACACACCUCAUAAUUUACACAGACAUUAACGCAUACACAACAAUACUCACAUAUAUUUUUUUUCCAUUCAACAUAUAUACACAAUACAAAUCACAUACAUUCUCACAAAAAAAGACACAUAGUGAGAAUAUAAAAAUAGUAAAAGAAAAAGAUGCAAAAUAGUAAAGAAAGUGAUGAAAAAAAGAGAGGGAAAAAUAGAGAGAGAUUGAGAGAGGAAAAAUAGACAGAGAGAAUUAUGAGAAAGAGAAAAGAAAAUUGUAAGAGAAGGAGGGAAAUUAAGAGAGAAAAAUUGAGCUGAAUGGAAUAAGGGAGAACAAAUUUUCUUGGCGAAGUUUUCAUCGAAAUUGCCAUCUCCACCAGCGAUCAACCCACCCGCCAGAAAAUCCACCAACUACUUUAUUGAUUACCUCCAUCAAUGAACAACCAAAAUAUAGAGAGAAAAAAUGAUCAAAAAUCAUCACCAAAUCUCCUCUGUUCGAAACUCCAGCCAUUUUCCAUUGUUGGAUUAAAGCAGAUCAACAAACCAUCGCCAAAAAAAUAAAAAAAAUAGAAAAAACAAUUGGGUUCAGAUAUUGAGGUUGGAUUUAUUGAUUGGGGUGUUCAUUAUUGAGGUCGACUCGAGGUAUUCCGAUGUUGCUCCAAUCAUUAGUCGAGUAAUGUGACGAUUGGAAUUCAAUAAAGGUCAAAGUCCUUUUUCCUUAAUCUUUCUUAUAAUUUUGUGGAUCUGUGGUGAUGAUUUGUGCAAUAUUUUGUUAUUAUGGUUGUUUGGUUUCUUGUUGGAAUUUUCUUAAGACAUUUUAAGGUUGUUCGUCCCUAUUUUGUGUUCUGCCAUUCUUAAUCUUUGGGAUGAACAAUUGAUUUUUGCAUCCCAAUUGAUAUUAUUUAACUUGAAAUUGAGGAUGGAUUGACCUUGAUAAAAGUGAAUUAUUGAUUCAUUGAUGGUGGUUUAAUUAGGAAUAAACAUUGAUAUCGUGGAAUGCUAUAGUAUCAUGAUAAGUUGAUAUUAGUAGGCAAACGAUAGAUUGGGUAGAAAAAUUUAAGGUUUGUGAAUUAUUGAAAGUUUGAAUGUUUGUUGAAUGGUUUUCAUUUUAUCGUAUUUGAAUCAAUUUUACUCAUUUGGAUGGGGAAUGACACGAGGUUAUCUGUAUUGUUUUAUCCAGGGAAUGCCGCGAGAGACUUAUAUUCGAAAGACUGACCGUGAUCAAGGCCCGAGUCAUCGGGUAAACCAUACCUUAGGAUAGUUAGGAUAGAUUAAAUCUACAUUUCAGCAUUUCUUUUACUUUGGCCUAUAUUAAAUUAGACUGACACUAUUUUUUGGAGUUUCGACUGUUUGGGUUGUUUGUUUUCUUGGUGUAUGUUUUGUUGGUUUAUACAUUUUAUUGUGUCAUACUAGCAGAUAUACUCCACGAAGCGACCGUGGUCUAACCACGGGAUCGAGGGAUGCCUUACACAUUUUUCUUGGUCAACAAACUUCCUUAAUCGGAAUAUCCUUUUCGAAAUAAAUUUUCACUUUUAGUCACUUUAAUAAUAAAACUCUUUACAAACUUAAAAUCGAAUUUUUUUUUAGAGCAAAAAAAGGAGUGAGACAACCUGAUGGCAGGAUAAAGUAGGUGGAAUCAUGACUCAUAAAUAGU